ensembl:lncRNA
UUUCCAAAUUUUGCCGGUUUCAUUUAUUUUAUUUUCCUUUGAAAACACGUUCUUCGUGGUUGUAGUACACUGACAAGCCGCCAGAGGGCACCUUUGACCAUUUGUAGCUAUAACACACCAGCCUGCCGCCAGGGGACAAUGGUAUAAAAAUGUUGACAAUGGUUAAAAAAAAGGGAAGUCUUGACGAGACCAAAGCCAGGGUCACAUCCAUCUUUGGUGACAUCUUGAAGCUUGACUCCAGCAUGAAGGUGAGCUUUGUCAUCCACUGCAGCGUGUUAUUUUCACAGUGUAAUGUUAGUUUGACUGUUGCGCAGGUCACCAAAAAGCUUGCAGGCGGUGACACUGGGAUGGCCACCUGGAUCACGAACGUUGGCAAUGAGUACGGGCAGGACGCAGCCGAGGGGGACGGACUUGACAACAUAAUGGUGGACUGAUGCUGUCGUGCUGGUACCUUCGCAUCUGGGUCCUGGUUUACGCCCACGGGACAAGGCAGCUGUGACAUCCUGACAGUGGUCAUCAAAGUGACAUCUAUUGUGAGAAGCACAGAAACGCUGGGCUCAAACUUGAACCCUUGGAUACGGGAGGUGGCCAUGCCAGCAAGCAAGCUAAAAGCCAUGGGUGAUAGCGUCUGUUAUUAGCAUGUCGGGUAGUGAGGUUUACUCAGUGCACAGCUCUGUUUUAUUCUUAGGAUCUGGAAAAAAAGAAAAUGGGC